GCCAGGCAUGGCGGCGCGUGCCUGUAGUCCCAGCUACUCAGGAGGCUGAGGCAGAAGAAUCGCUUGAACCCGGGAGGCAGAGCUUGCAGUGAGCCGAGAUUGCGCCACUGCACUCCAGCCUGGGUGACAGAGUGAGACUCUGUCUCAA
rnacentral:sRNA from 1 species